GAGUAGUACAUCGGGAGAAUUCAGUUAAUAGUAUUAUUUGCGUUUUCAGUGCAGAAGUGCAUAAACCGACACAGUGCUGUAAUUUUAAGCAUCAUCAAAUAUUACAAUCGAUUACUUAAAAUACAGGUUGUCGCAGAAAAACGCCAUUCUCAGCUUUCAAUGGAAAGCUUAGAACUAAUUUUAUAUUACGCGAGGUAUAUUAUGGUUCAGAUUCACGAAGUAAACUGAAUCAUGGUGCAGGAAUCUUCAUUUUGUAUUCCUGUCACGCAAAGCUUUUAAUAUUUUAGAACUUCAGAUUUGUGACGGCUUUUAUCUCUGCGUCUUCCAUCAUAUUUUACGACUUGUCUGCAAAUAGAUUAAUAAGAAGCGCUUUAUAAGCAAAGAUUGUGGGAAAGUCAAUGUUAAAAUGGAGACAUGCUCAGCUGAAUAUUGCCAAUAUAUUCCAUAAAUGGAACUACAAAAGCAACGCCGUAUAUACAUGAAAACGAAUUUAUAAUAUGGAGAUAGGUAUCAACUUUUAUUAAAGCCCUCCAUAUCUUCAGGACACUUUUGACGCUCUCAAGCAAAUCACUCGAAUAAUUGUGGUUUUGUAAGUAAUGUAAA